GACGAACGCUGGCGGCGUGCUUAACACAUGCAAGUCGAACGGAAAGGCCCUGCUUUUGUGGGGUGCUCGAGUGGCGAACGGGUGAGUAACACGUGAAUAACCUGCCCUUGACUUUGGGAUAACUUCAGGAAACUGGGGCUAAUACCGGAUAGGAGCUCCUGCUGCAUGGUGGGGGUUGGAAAGUUUCGGCGGUUGGGGAUGGACUCGCGGCUUAUCAGCUUGUUGGUGGGGUAGUGGCUUACCAAGGCUUUGACGGGUAGCCGGCCUGAGAGGGUGACCGGCCACAUUGGGACUGAGAUACGGCCCAGACUCCUACGGGAGGCAGCAGUGGGGAAUAUUGCACAAUGGGCGGAAGCCUGAUGCAGCAACGCCGCGUGCGGGAUGACGGCCUUCGGGUUGUAAACCGCUUUCGCCUGUGACGAAGCGUGAGUGACGGUAAUGGGUAAAGAAGCACCGGCUAACUACGUG
rnacentral:rRNA from 1 species